rnacentral:rRNA from 1 species
CCUACGGGUGGCAGCAGUGGGGAAUAUUGGACAAUGGGGGCAACCCUGAUCCAUCCAUGCCGCGUGUGUGAAGAAGGCCCUCGGGUUGUAAAGCACUUUCAGUGAGGAAGAACGCCUGGUGGUUAAUACCCAUCAGGAAAGACAUCACUCACAGAAGAAGCACCGGCUAACUCCGUGCCAGCAGCCGCGGUAAUACGGAGGGUGCGAGCGUUAAUCGGAAUUACUGGGCGUAAAGCGCGCGUAGGUGGCUUGAUAAGCCGGUUGUGAAAGCCCCGGGCUCAACCUGGGAACGGCAUCCGGAACUGUCAAGCUAGAGUGCAGGAGAGGAAGGUAGAAUUCCCGGUGUAGCGGUGAAAUGCGUAGAGAUCGGGAGGAAUACCAGUGGCGAAGGCGGCCUUCUGGACUGACACUGACACUGAGGUGCGAAAGCGUGGGUAGCAAACAGGAUUAGAUACCCCGGUAGUC